CCUGCCCGCCCGGGAGCCGCGGCCCGUCCCUCCUCUCCUCCUCGGGAGGAGAAGAAUGAAGAGUUCGGGAGCGCUUUUUGCGCAUUUUCAAGCACACUGGAGAUGAUUUUCUCUUCGAUUGCUCCUGAUGUGAAGCUGUCAUGGGCCACUCCACGUGUGGUGAAGGACAUCCCUGAUCUGUGGCACUGUGGCAGCUUGGUGAAGACCCAAAAGAAAAAGAGCCUGGCUGUAGAACUGGACCCUUAAAACCAACUGAUUUCUUUGAAGGGACUUAUUCGGAAGAAAGUUAAUAAAAACUGCAUGGAAAAACCAGCAUCACAGCUAUUUUUUUUUUUCUGCCUGAAAUUCCUACAGGGAAGUUAGCUGAAUGCAAAAAGUAUGGAGAAAGAGAGAAACAUUCCAUUGGUCCUUAAAGCCCAAAGGAGUGAUUCCUUCAGUGCUGCCAUUCCAGUGGAGAUUGCAGCAAGGUCUCCUUCCAUACCAGUUGCUGCACUGGUGUAGAUCCUCUGGCACCGAUUCCUGUCCCUGGGAGUUGUCCCAGCUUGAUGUCUGCAAGGAUGUGGCGAGAACUGCACUUCAGUCCUGUGCUUGCUCACUGGGCUGCCAAACAUGCACACUUCACUGGG